rnacentral:rRNA from 1 species
AGUGAACGCUGGCGGCGUGCCUAAUACAUGCAAGUCGAACGGAGUGGCGCACGGGUGAGUAAUGAAUAGCUAAUCUGCCCUACACUAGAGGACAACAGCUGGAAACGACUGAUAAUACUCUAUAGUGUCGUUUGAGGCUAUAUUGUAUCAGCUAGUUGGUUAUGUAAUGGCUCACCAAGGCUAUGACACAUAACUGGUCUGAGAGGAUGAUCAGUCACACUGGACCUGAGACACGGUUCAGACUCCUACGGGAGGCAGCAGUAGGGUAUAUUGCUCAAUGGGGGAAACCCUGAAGCAGCUACGCCGUGUGGAGGAUGACACUUUUCGGAGCGUAAACUCCUUUUGUUAGGGAAGCGGUACCUACCGAAUAAGCACCGGCUAACUCCGUGCCAGCAGCCGCGGUAAUAC